GUGAAUCAUCAAAUUUUUGAACGCAAAUUGCACUCUCUGGUAUUCCGGAGAGUAUGCCUGUUUGAGGGUCAGUUUAAAUAAAAAUCGGUGUGGGUGCUGCCUUUCGUGGCGACGUACCGCAUUUGGGUCGUCUUGCCUUCGGUUAAGUGACCUAAAAUUUUGCAUGAUUUUUUCGAACGUAUUUAAAUGAUUUUACGUACGUUUGCGAUAUUGAAUACUAGGUGUGGUCCUUCUCUUGAUUCUCGCCUCUAAUC
rnacentral:misc_RNA from 1 species